GGAGAACUGAGGGGGGCUGCUCCUAGUACGAGAGGACCGGAGUGGACGCAUCACUGGUGUUCGGGUUGUCAUGCCAAUGGCACUGCCCGGUAGCUAAAUGCGGAAGAGAUAAGUGCUGAAAGCAUCUAAGCACGAAACUUGCCCCGAGAUGAGUUCUCCCUGACCCUUUAAGGGUCCUGAAGGAACGUUGAAGACGACGACGUUGAUAGGCCGGGUGUGUAAGCGCAGCGAUGCGUUGAGCUAACCGGUACUAAUGAACCGUGAGGCUUAACCUUACAACGCCGAAG
rnacentral:rRNA from 1 species